UACAGAGGGUGCGAGCGUUGUUCGGAAUUAUUGGGCGUAAAGCGCGUGUAGGCGGCCUUGCAAGUUGGGUGUGAAAGCCCUCGGCUUAACCGAGGAAGUGCGCCCAAAACUACAAGGCUUGAGUGCCGGAGAGGGUGGCGGAAUUCCCGGUGUAGAGGUGAAAUUCGUAGAUAUCGGGAGGAACACCAGUGGCGAAGGCGGCCACCUGGACGGUAACUGACGCUGAGACGCGAAAGCGUGGGGAGCAAACAGG
rnacentral:rRNA from 1 species